CGGGGGGGGGCCGUUAUUUAUAUCGUUAAAGGGACAGGCCGCCCAUUUCUCCGCCGUGGGGGCUGGGGGGGGCCGCUGCACGGCCACCGACUUUCUCCCCCCCCCUUUCCCCCCCCUCCCCAACCCCCGGACCGGAGGAACCCGGGGCUGAGUGAGGCGCUGAGGCGACAGCGGAGAGUUUCUUCCCUCCUCCCUCCUCCUCCUUCUCCUCCUCCCCGCGGCCGUCAGCGGAGGGAGAAAGGGCCCCGCCGGGAGCACGGAGCAGCCGGGCGGCCCCCACCCCCCGCGCUCCCCUCCUCCCCCUUUAUUGCCCUUUGUGUGCGUUCGCCGCCUGCGCCGCUCCGGGGCCGGCCGGGCGCCGGGGGGCCGCUGAGUGCCUCAUACCAAGAGGUCUAAGGCCGAUUUGGGUUCUCUGGCUGCUGUCACAGCGACCUCUUAGGAACUGGAAGAACUGAAUCUGUUGGCUCAUUUUACUGCAGGCUGCUAGUUAUCAACAGCUAU
rnacentral:lncRNA from 1 species